CAGCCGCCGCGGUAAAACGUAGGUGGCAAGCGUUGUCCGGAAUUAUUGGGCGUAAAGGGCUCGCAGGCGGUUUCUUAAGUCUGAUGUGAAAGCCCCCGGCUCAACCGGGGAGGGUCAUUGGAAACUGGGAAACUUGAGUGCAGAAGAGGAGAGUGGAAUUCCACGUGUAGCGGUGAAAUGCGUAGAGAUGUGGAGGAACACCAGUAGCGAAGGCGACUCUCUGGUCUGUAACUGACGCUGAGGAGCGAAAGCGUGGGGAGCGAACAGGAUUAGAUACCCCGGUAGUCCCUGUCUCUUAUAC
rnacentral:rRNA from 1 species